rnacentral:rRNA from 1 species
UAACGAACGAGAUCGAGACCCGUGGUUGCGUUGWGUGAUGCGUCAACGUAAAMUACAGGGAUCGCGUAAUAUACCCAACGGUACGAUUGAAAGACUCGGCAAUAACAGGUCUGUGAUGCCCUCAGAUGUUCUAGGCUGCACACGUGCUACAUUGUGAUUCCGUAGUGUGUGUGUAUGCAUAGAAUAUCUCGCACCGAGUCAUAACUGGUCACGCGGUUGGACUCACCGAUUGUCAAUUAUUCGGUAUACUAACUAGGAAUGCCUCGUACUGAGAGGUUCAACGAGACCCACUGGAAUCCGUCCCUGCCCUUUGUACACACCGCCCGUCGCUCUUACCGAUGGGUGUGGUUGUUAGCAUAGUUGAGUCUCCCACGAGCGAACCAAUAUAUUUAUGACGAGGUGAAUCUAC